rnacentral:rRNA from 1 species
UACGUAGGUGGCAAGCGUUACUCGGAAUCACUAGGUGUAAAGCGUGGGUAGGUUGUCUGGUAAGUUGGAAGUGAAAUUUCCGAUAAAAUCGGAGGGGUCUUCCAAAACUGCCAAACUUGAGUAUAGCAAGGGGAACUGGAAUUCCAGGUGUAGCGGUGAAAUGCGUAAAUAUCUGGAGGAACACCGAUGGCUAAAGCGAGUUCCUGGGCUAUUACUGACACUGAUCUACGAAGAUGUGGGGAGCA